AUUGAACGCUGGCGGCAGGCUUAACACAUGCAAGUCGAGCGGGGACUUCGGUCCUAGCGGCGAACGGGUGAGGAAUGCUUUGGAAUCUGCCCAGUAGUGGGGGAUAACGUUUCGAAAGGAACGCUAAUACCGCAUACGUCCUACGGGAGAAAGGGGGGGAUCUUCGGACCUCUCGCUAUUGGAUGAGCCAAAGUCGGAUUAGCUAGUUGGUGGGGUAAAGGCCCACCAAGGCGACGAUCCGUAGCUGGUCUGAGAGGAUGAUCAGCCACACUGGAAAUGAGACACGGUCCAGACUCCUACGGGAGGCAGCAGUGGGGAAUAUUGGACAAUGGGCGAAAGCCUGAUCCAGCCAUGCCGCGUGUGUGAAGAAGGCCUUCGGGUUGUAAAGCACUUUAAGUGGGGAGGAAUGGCUCUUGGCUAAUAACCUUGAGCAGUGACGUUACCCUCAGAAUAAGCACCGGCUAACUCUGUGCCAGCCGCCGCGGUAAGAC
rnacentral:rRNA from 1 species